UACGUAGGGGGCAAGCGUUGUCCGGAAUCAUUGGGCGUAAAGCGCGUGUAGGCGGCUCGGUAAGUCUGCUGUGAAAGUCCAGGGCUCAACCCUGGGAUGCCGGUGGAUACUGUCGAGCUCGAGUCCGGAAGAGGCGAGUGGAAUUCCUGGUGUAGCGGUGAAAUGCGCAGAUAUCAGGAGGAACACCAAUGGCGAAGGCAGCUCGCUGGGACGUGACUGACGCUGAGAAGCGAAAGCGUGGGGAGCAAACAGG
rnacentral:rRNA from 1 species